AACGAACGCUGGCGGCAGGCUUAACACAUGCAAGUCGAACGCAUCGCAAGAUGAGUGGCAGACGGGUGAGUAACGCGUGGGAACAUACCCUUUUCUACGGAAUAGCUCUGGGAAACUGGAAUUAAUACCGUAUACGCCCUACGGGGGAAAGAUUUAUCGGGGAAGGAUUGGCCCGCGUUGGAUUAGCUAGUUGGUGGGGUAAAGGCCUACCAAGGCGACGAUCCAUAGCUGGUCUGAGAGGAUGAUCAGCCACAUUGGGACUGAGACACGGCCCAAACUCCUAGGGGAGGCAGCAGUGGGGAAUAUUGGACAAUGGGCGCAAGCCUGGUUCAGCCAUGCCGCGUGAGUGAUGAAGGCCUUAGGGUUGUAAAGCUCUUUCACCGAUGAAGAUAAUGACGGUAGUCGGAGAAGAAGCCCCGGCUAACUUCGUGCCAGCCGCCGCGGUAA
rnacentral:rRNA from 1 species